rnacentral:lncRNA from 1 species
AUGACUUCCGACCAAUACUACGGUUUCUCAAGCCGCAGCGUCCUUUGCUUGGGUGACCCAGUGCUCUUCUGGCGUAAUGAACUCCAAAAAGGGAUUGCUCAUCAGGGAACCAGAAGUAAUCGGAUUUGUGGGGCCAGCAGACCUGUUCCUGAGUCCCAUCCUUUUUCCAGCCGGUAUCAAGAAUCUGAACUGAAGGUAUUUUGCUCUAAAAACAUACUGAGCAUCCUUGGUUUCUCCUGCAUCAUCGCUGUGAUAGCGUUGCUCGCUCUGGGGCUGACCCAGAACAAAGCACUGCCAGAAAAUGUUAAGUUUGGGAUUGUGCUGGAUGCAGGCUCCUCUCACACGAGUUUGUACAUCUAUAGAUGGCCGGCAGAGAAGGAGAAUGACACGGGGGUGGUGACUCAGAUAGAAGAAUGCAAGCUGAAAGGUCCUGGAAUCUCAAGCUUUGCUAAAAAAUUAAAUGAAAUCAAUGUCUAUCUGACUGCAUGCAUGGAAAGAGCCAGGAAAGUGAUUCCAUCAAUCCAGCACACAGAAACACCUGUUUACCUGGGAGCCACGGCCGGCAUGCGGUUGCUCAGGAUGGAAAAUAAACAGAUGGCAGACAAGAUCCUGGCUGUGGUUGCAAGCAGCAUCAGCAAGUACCCCUUUGACUUCCAAGGUGCCAGAAUCAUCAGUGGCCAGGAGGAAGGUGCCUAUGGCUGGAUUACUGUCAACUAUUUGCUGGGCAAAUUCACUCAGAAAUUGAGUUGGUUUAACUUGAAGCCAAGCAAAGACGAUACUCAGGAAACCUAUGGAGCUUUAGACCUUGGGGGAGCCUCUACACAAAUCACUUUUGUGCCCCGAAAUGAAACGACUGAGUCUCCAGACAACAACCUGUACUUUCGCCUCUAUGGCAAGAACUACAAUGUAUACACACACAGCUUCCUGUGCUAUGGGAAAGACCAAGCACUUUUUCAGAAACUGGCCCUGGGACUUCAGGGUACAAAUGGAAUCAUCCGUGAGCCAUGCUUUCACUCCGGAUACAGAAGGAAAGUAAAGAUGAGUGUCUUCAACGAAGGUUUCUGUACCAUGAGAUAUGAGUUGAAUUCUUCAUUUUAUCCACUCUCUGACGUUGACAUCCGUGGCACUGGACGCUUCCGACAAUGUCAGCAAAGCAUCAUUCAACUCUUUAACACCAGUUAUUGCCCUUACUCCAGUUGCUCCUUCAAUGGGGUUUUCUUACCGCCACUCCAAGGGCAGUUUGGGGCAUUUUCAGCUUUUUACUAUGUGAUGGAGUUUUUAAACUUUACAUCACAGGAAUCAACAUCUGUGGAAAAGUUGACUGAGAAGUUGCAAGAGUUCUGCGCUCAGCGUUGGGAAGAGGUGGAGAAGAAUUUUGGUGAUGUGAAGGAGAAAUACCUGAGUGAAUACUGCUUUUCUGGCACCUACAUCCUAGUUCUCCUCCUGAAUGGCUACCAUUUUACAGCUGAGUCCUGGAAAAAUAUUCACUUCAUGAACAAGGUCCGGAGCACCAGCGUUGGGUGGACUUUGGGCUACAUGCUGAACCUGACCAACAAGAUUCCAGCUGAGCAGCCAUUGUCCGCACCCCUCCCCCACUCCACCUAUGUCUUCCUCAUGGUCCUCUUCUCUCUGAUCCUGCUCGCAGUGAUCAUCGUAGGCAUAGUUGUCUUUCACAAGCCUUCGUAUCUCUGGAAAGACGUGGUAUAG